CCUGAUGGCUCAGAUGGUAAAGAAUCUGCCUCUGAUGUAGGAGAUCUGGGUUCAAUCCCCAGGUCAGGA
rnacentral:tRNA from 1 species